CACAAGUCAAGGUGUAUCUGUCCAUCCCCCAAGGACAAGAGACUUGGAGCCUGAGCACACAGGGAUGGUGCAAACUCAGAUGUUGGUCCAGACAGUUCAGGAACACAUGUUUUAAAAUUGGAAUUGUUGCCUCAAUUUUCUCUUUCAGUGUGUAAAUGGAACCUCCAAAUAAGAUUAAAUUGAAGAGAAAGCAUUAAAGGGCAGUAUUCCAGUGGAAUCCAUGAACAGUUUAUGGACGAAGGGGCCCUGAGCCAAGGAAAGCAGGCCACCUCUAGAAGCUGGAAAAGGCAAGGAAAUGAAAUCCCCCAAGAGCCUCCAGAAGGAACACAACCAUGCCAACCUGUUUUAGACUUCUGAUCUCCUGAACUGUAAAAUAAUAAAUAUGUGUU
rnacentral:lncRNA from 10 species